UGCGAGACCAACAAGUCGAGCAGGGACGAAAGUCGGGCUUAGUGAUCCCGGUGGUACCGCAUGGAAGGGCCAUCGCUCAACGGAUAAAAGCUACCCUGGGGAUAACAGGCUUAUCUCCCCCAAGAGUCCACAUCGACGGGGAGGUUUGGCACCUCGAUGUCGGCUCAUCGCAUCCUGGGGCUGAAGUAGGUCCCAAGGGUUGGGCUGUUCGCCCAUUAAAGCGGUACGCGAGCUGGGUUCAGAACGUCGUGAGACAGUUCGGUCCCUAUCUGUCGCGGGCGUAGGAAAUUUGAGAGGAGCUGUCCUUAGUACGAGAGGACCGGGAUGGACGUACCGCUGGUGUACCAGUUGUCUCGCCAGAGGCAUAGCUGGGUAGCCAAGUGCGGAAGGGAUAAGCGCUGAAAGCAUCUAAGCGUGAAGCCCCCCUCAAGAUGAGAUUUCCCACAAUGGUAAGACCCCUUGAAGACGACGAGGUAGGUAGGUUGGAGGUGGAAGUGCAGCAAUGCAUGGAGCUGACCAAUACUAAUCGGUCGAGGGCUUAUCCUA
rnacentral:rRNA from 1 species